rnacentral:rRNA from 1 species
CAUGUCUAUACGACGAGGAUAACGGCUGGAAACGGCUGCUAAGACUGGAUAGGAAUAUAAAAGGCAUCUUUAAUAUUUUAAAGGACUAUUUAUAGAACGCGUAUAGGGUGGCCUGCGGCGCAUUAGCUAGUUGGUAGAGUAAGAGCCUACCAAGGCGAUGAUGCGUAGCCGGACUGAGAGGUUGACCGGCCACAUUGGGACUGAGACACGGCCCAGACUCCUACGGGAGGCAGCAGUAGGGAAUUUUCGGCAAUGGGGGGAACCCUGACCGAGCAACGCCGCGUGAAUGACGAAGUACUUCGGUAUGUAAAGUUCUUUUAUUGGGGAAGAAAGGCUAGCAAAAGCUAGAUUGACGGUACCCAUUGAAUAAGCCCCGGCUAACUAUGUGCCAGCAGCCGCGGUAAUACAUAGGGGGCAAGCGUUAUCCGGAAUUAUUGGGCAUAAAGGGUGCGUAGGCGGCAUGUUAAGUUUAAGGUAUAAGCUCAUGGCUCAACCAUGGGAGGCUUUAGAAACUGGCAUGCUAAAGUGCAGUAGAGGCAAGUGGAAUUCCAUGUGUAGCGGUAAAAUGCGUAAAUAUAUGGAGGAACACCAGUAGCGAAGGCGGCUUGCUU